UACGGAGGAGGCAAGCGUUGUUCGGAAUCACUGGGCUUAAAGGGCGUGUAGGCGGGACGGAAGGUGCUUUGUGAAAGCCCUCGGCUCAACCGGGGAAUUGCUUGGCAAACCUCCGUCCUUGAGGCAGGUAGAGGCAACUGGAACCUUCGGUGGAGAGGUGAAAUUCGUAGAUAUCGAAGGGAACGCCGGUGGCGAAAGCGGGUUGCUGGGCCUGUCCUGACGCUGAGACGCGAAAGCGUAGGGAGCGAACGGG
rnacentral:rRNA from 1 species